rnacentral:rRNA from 1 species
CGCUGGCGGCGCGUCUUAAGCAUGCAAGGUCGAACGGCAAGAGGUAGCAAUACCUCCUAGAGUGGCGGACUGGUGAGUAACACGUGGGUGACAUACCCUUCAGAUGGGGAUAGCUAUUAGAAAUAGUAGAUAAUACCGAAUACGAGCACAGGGGUUAGAGAUCUGUGAGGAAAGGAGCUAAGGCUCCGCUGAAGGAAUGGCCUGCGGCCCAUUAGCUAGUUGGUGAGGUAAGAGCCCACCAAGGCGAUGAUGGGUAUCCGGCCUUAGAGGGUGAACGGACACAUUGGGACUGAGAUACGGCCCAGACUCCUACGGGAGGCAGCAGCUAAGAAUAUUCCGCAAUGGACGAAAGUCUGACGGAGCGACGCCGCGUGGAUGAAGAAGGCCGGAAGGUUGUAAAAUCCUUUUGAAACUGAAGAAUAAGCGUUGUAGGGAAUGACAGCGUGGUGACAGUAGGUUUUGAAUAAGCAACGGCUAAUUACGUGCCAGCCGCAGC